rnacentral:rRNA from 1 species
AGAAUUUGAUCUUGGUUCAGGAUGAACGCUGGCGGCGUGCUUAACACAUGCAAGUCGAACGGAGUUUUUAACGGAAGUUUCGGAUGGAAGUUUAGAAACUUAGUGGCGGACGGGUGAGUAACGCGUGGGUAACCUGCCUCAUACAGGGGGAUAACAGUUAGAAAUGACUGCUAACACCGCAUAAUAUAGCGAAACCGCAUGAUUUUGCUAUCAAAUAUUUAUAGGUAUGAGAUGGGCCCGCGUCUGAUUAGCUAGUUGGUGGGGUAAAGCCUACCAAGGCGACGAUCAGUAGCCGGCUUGAGAGAGUGACCGGCCACAUUGGGACUGAGACACGGCCCAAACUCCUACGGGAGGCAGCAGUGGGGAAUAUUGGACAAUGGGGGAAACCCUGAUCCAGCGAACCGCCGCGUGAGUGAAGAAGUAUUUCGGUAUGUAAAGCUCUAUCAGCAGGGAAGAUAAUGACAGUACCUGACUAAGAAGCCCCGGCUAACUACGUGCCAGCCGCAGC